AGUGAACGCUGGCGGUAGGCCUAACACAUGCAAGUCGAACGGCAGCACAGUAAGAGCUUGCUCUUACGGGUGGCGAGUGGCGGACGGGUGAGGAAUACAUCGGAGUCUACUUUUUCGUGGGGGAUAACGUAGGGAAACUUACGCUAAUACCGCAUACGACCUGCGGGUGAAAGCAUGGGAUCUUCGGACCUUGCGCGAUUGAAUGAGCCGAUGUCGGAUUAGCUAGUUGGCGGGGUAAAGGCCCACCAAGGCGAAGAUCCGUAGCUGGUCUGAGAGGAUGAUCAGCCAAACUGGAACUGAGAAACGGUCCAGACUCCUAAGGGAGGCAGCAGUGGGGAAUAUUGGACAAUGGGCGCAAGCCUGAUCCAGCCAUACCGCGUGGGUGAAGAAGGCCUUCGGGUUUUAAAGCCCUUUUGUUGGGAAAGAAAAGCAGCAGGUUAAUACCCCGCUGUUCUGACGGUACCCAAAGAAUAAGCACCGGCUAACUUCGUG
rnacentral:rRNA from 1 species